AUGUGCAAGAGCAGCUUGAUUUGCAUUAAUGUUAAUGAGGUUUUUACUCAUGGAGUGUUAAUGUUUCUCUGUUGUGGUACAAGCACGGUUCCUUUUUCUUUCCUUGGUGUUCAAGUUGGGGCGAACCAUAUGACUAAAGCAGUGUGGAAAUCGGUGAUCAAUAAUAUGAAGAAUAGGUUAUCUGUAUGGAAGGGAAAUUUUGUAUCUAUAGGCAGUAGGGUAACUAAGGAGGAGGGUGGGUUAGAAAUUAGGGGCAUUGAGGCCUUCAAUGAGGCUCUAAUGUGUAAGUGGAAGUAG